rnacentral:rRNA from 1 species
UCGAGGAUCAUUCGCAAUGAGCGAAAGCUUGACGAUGCGACGCUGUGUGAACGAUGAAGGCCUUCGGGUUGUAAAGUUCUUUCGCUUGGGAACAAGAGAAUUUAGUGAAUAACUGAGUGAUUUGAGUGUACCAGGUAAAGAAGCACCGGCUAACUCCGUGCCAGCAGCUGCGGUAAUACGGAGGGUGCAAGCAUUAAUCGGAUUUAUUGGGCGUAAAGGGCGCGUAGGCGGACUAUCAAGUCAGAUGUGAAAUACCAAAGCUCAACUUUGGUGCUGCAUUUGAAACUGAUAGACUUGAGGGUUGACGGAGAAAAUGGAAUUCCACGUGUAGCGGUGAAAUGCGUAGAUAUGUGGAAGAACACCUGUGGCGAAAGCGAUUUUCUAGUUAAUACCUGACGCUGAGGCGCGAGAGCAAGGGGAGCAAACAGG